UACGUAGGGACCAAGCGUUGUUCGGAAUUACUGGGCGUAAAGGGCGCGUAGGCGGCCUGGCAAGUGGAAGGUGAAAUCCCUCGGCUUAACCGAGGAACUGCCGUCCAAACUGCUUGGCUUGAGUCCGGGAGAGGUGAGUGGAAUUCCCAGUGUAGCGGUGAAAUGCGUAGAUAUUGGGAGGAACACCAGUGGCGAAGGCGGCUCGCUGGACCGGAACUGACGCUGAUGCGCGAAAGCGUGGGGAGCAAACGGG
rnacentral:rRNA from 1 species